rnacentral:rRNA from 1 species
CUCCGAUGGAUAAUCCUUUCACCGGGAGGGCNUUUGGANCCAUUGAAAUGAAAGAGGAGUGGCGAACGGGUGAGUAACGCCUGGGUAACCUGCCCAUCACAGGGGGAUAGCACUUGGAAACGGGUGCUAAUACCGUACAACAGUAUUUUCCGCAAGGAAAUAAAGUUGAAAGGCGCUUUUGCGUCACUGAUGGAUGGACCCGCGGUGCAUUAGGCUACGUUGGUGAGGUAACGGCUCACCAAGGCAACGAUGCAGACCCGACCUGAUGAGGGUGAUCGGCCACACUGGGCACUGAGCACACGGCCCAGACUCCUACGGGUAGGCAGCAGUAGGGAAUCUUCGGCAAUGGACGAAAGUCUGACCGAGCAACGCCUCGUGAUUGAAGAAGGUUUUCGGAUCGUAAAACUCUGUUGUUAGAGAAGAACAAGGAUGAGAGUAAAAUGUUCAUCCCUUGACGGUAUCUAACCAGAAAGCCACGGCUAACUACGUGCCAGCAGCCGCGGUAAUACGUAUGUGGCAAGCGUUGUCCGGAUUUAUUGGGCGUAAAGCGAGCGCACGCGGUUUCUUAAUUCUGAUGUGAAAACCCCCGGCUCAACCGGGGAGGGUCAUUGUAAACUGGAACACUUGAAUGCAGAAAAGGAGAGUGGAAUUCCAUGUGUAGCGGUGAAAUGCGUAGAUAUAUGGAGGAACACCCGUGCCCAACGCGGCUCUCUGGUCUGUAACUGACACUCAGGCU